rfam:Candidatus Methanomassiliicoccus intestinalis Issoire-Mx1, complete genome.
GCCCGGUUGGGGUAGCCUGGCAUCCUGUGGGACUGUGGAUCCCUAGACUCGAGUUCAAAUCUCGGACCGGGCC